AUUGAACGCUGGCGGCAGGCUUAACACAUGCAAGUCGAGCGGAGAGAGGUAGCUUGCUACUGAUCUUAGCGGCGGACGGGUGAGUAAUGCUUAGGAAUCUGCCUAUUAGUGGGGGACAACAUUUCGAAAGGAAUGCUAAUACCGCAUACGUCCUACGGGAGAAAGCAGGGGAUCUUCGGACCUUGCGCUAAUAGAUGAGCCUAAGUCGGAUUAGCUAGUUGGUGGGAUAAAGGCCUACCAAGGCGACGAUCUGUAGCGGGUCUGAGAGGAUGAUCCGCCACACUGGGACUGAGACACGGCCCAGACUCCGACGGGAGGCAGCAGUGGGGAAUAUUGGACAAUGGGCGGAAGCCUGAUCCAGCCAUGCCGCGUGUGUGAAGAAGGCCUUAUGGUUGUAAAGCACUUUAAGCGAGGAGGAGGUUACUUUAGUUAAUACCUAGAGAUAGUGGACGUUACUCGCAGAAUAAGCACCGGCUAACUCUGUGCCAGCCGCCGCCGUAA
rnacentral:rRNA from 1 species